rnacentral:rRNA from 1 species
GUCCACGCCGUAAACGAUAACCACUAGAUGUUGGUUCGGCUUAGCUGGAUCAGUGUCGUAGCUAACGCGUUAAGUGGUUCGCCUGGGGAGUAUGGUCGCAAGGCUAAAACUUAAAAGAAUUGACGGGGUCCGCACAAGCGGUGGAACAUGUGGUUUAAUUCGACACUACGCGAGAAACCUUACCUGGGCUUGACAUGUACUCGACAGCUGUAGAAAUAUGGUCUUUUGGGUUUCGAUUCAAACGGGUACACAGGUGCUGCAUGGCUGUCGU